rnacentral:rRNA from 1 species
CCUACGGGAGGCUGCAGUGGGGAAUAUUGCGCAAUGGGCGAAAGCCUGACGCAGCGACGCCGCGUGAGGGAUGAAUGUCUUCGGAUCUGUAACCUUUGUUAGCAGGGAAGAACGGUCACUGUGGUAAUCAGCAUUGAAUUGACGGUACCUGCAAAGGAAGCACCGGCUAACUCCGUGCCAGCAGCCGCGGUAAUACGGAGGGUGCGAGCGUUAAUCGGUAUUGCUGGGCGUAAAGGGCUCGUAGGAGGUAUGUCAAGUGAAGGGUGAAAUCCCCGCGCGCAACGUGGGAACUGCCUUUGAAACUGGCAAACUGGAGUGUGUGAGAGGAUAGUGGAAUUCCAGGUGUAGGAGUGAAAUCCGUAGAUAUCUGGAGGAACAUCAGUGGCGAAGGCGACUAUCUGGCACAUAACUGACGCUGAGGAGCGAAAGCGUGGGUAGCAAACAGGAUUAGAUACCCUGGUAGUC